GGGGGAUAUUGCACAAUGGAGGAAACUCUGAUGCAGCAACGCCGCGUGAGGGAAGAAGGUUUUCGGAUUGUAAACCUCUGUCCUCGGUGAAGAUAAUGACGGUAGCCGAGGAGGAAGCCACGGCUAACUACGUGCCAGCAGCCGCGGUAAUACGUAGGUGGCAAGCGUUGUCCGGAAUUACUGGGUGUAAAGGGUGCGUAGGCGGCUAUGCAAGUCAGGCGUGAAAUAUAUGGGCUUAACCCGUAGACUGCGUUUGAAACUGUGUGGCUUGAGUGAGGUAGAGGCAGGCGGAAUUCCCGGUGUAGCGGUGAAAUGCGUAGAGAUCGGGAGGAACACCAGUGGCGAAGGCGGCCUGCUGGGCCUUAACUGACGCUGAGGCACGAAAGCAUGGGUAGCAAAC
rnacentral:rRNA from 1 species